GCACCCAUAGCUCAACUGGAUAGAGUACUUGACUACGAAUCAAGCGGUUAGAGGUUCGACUCCUCUUGGGUGCA
rnacentral:tRNA from 1 species